rnacentral:lncRNA from 1 species
CACCUGCUAAACCUAUAACCUCGGAUCAAAAAAGUGCUAUGCAUCAUAUUGCUCCAAACUCAUGACGUGCUAAAAGGCCUUGAGGAACACCCCCAUUAAUUUCUGCG